UAGCCACAGCGGCAUCGGCUGAGACCUUCAUCCUGAUUGUUCCUUAGGUGCUGUUUAGUGCCAGCCACUGAAGAAAACCCCCUUGUUUCCACCCACGCGGCCCCAUCUGGUUUCAGGGUCUCCUCUGUGCUAUUUUGGGGUGUGAGGAGAUCAUUUUUCAACGCCCACAGUGUGCGGGGGCUGGGAACUCUGCAUCCUCCCCAAUACUUUUAUUUCUUCUCAGAGGGGUCUUGCCUCCUUUCCCAAGCUCAGCCUGUGGAGUAAAGCGCAGACCCCAUCUCUCGGAGACAAGGUCCAUUAUAUUGCCCAGGCUGGUCUCAAAAUCCUGGGCUCAAGUGAUCCUCCCACCUUGGCCUCCCAAAAUGCUGGAAUUACAGUUAUUGCUUGAUGGAUUCUGCUAACUCCCAGGAGAAUCCAAGUGG